GGGAAUCUACCGUGCCCUGCGGAAUAGCUCCGGGAAACUGGAAUUAAUACCGCAUACGCCCUACGGGGGAAAGAUUUAUCGGGGUAUGAUGAGCCCGCGUUGGAUUAGCUAGUUGGUGGGGUAAAGGCCUACCAAGGCGACGAUCCAUAGCUGGUCUGAGAGGAUGAUCAGCCACAUUGGGACUGAGACACGGCCCAAACUCCUACGGGAGGCAGCAGUGGGGAAUAUUGGACAAUGGGCGCAAGCCUGAUCCAGCCAUGCCGCGUGAGUGAUGAAGGCCUUAGGGUUGUAAAGCUCUUUCACCGAUGAAGAUAAUGACGGUAGUCGGAGAAGAAGCCCCGGCUAACUUCGUGCCAGCAGCCGCGGUAAUACGAAGGGGGCUAGCGUUGUUCGGAAUUACUGGGCGUAAAGCGCACGUAGGCGGAUAUUUAAGUCAGGGGUGAAAUCCCAGAGCUCAACUCUGGAACUGCCUUUGAUACUGGGUAUCUUGAGUAUGGAAGAGGUAAGUGGAAUUGCGAGU
rnacentral:rRNA from 1 species